UGAGCUUCUGUUCUGGCCAAGAGGCUGUGAAAUGGGGUUUCAGGCAGUCGUUGACGUUGGUCAUGGUGGAGAGAGAGAGCACUUUUAGGUCCCUGGGACCAGUCCCUGAGAGACCAGCUCUGCCCCAUCCUCCCCUGGUUCGUUUGCAAGACCCAUAGCUGCUUUCUUACUGCAGUUGAGGUUCUGUGCUCUCAGCUGAAAGAGACUGUGAUAGGCUGGAAAUACGUCUACAGAUCCUUGGACAUUUCCCCCUCAAAGUCUAGAGCCUCAUGCCCCACCCUUUGAGGUGGGGACAGACCUAGAGACCCCCCUCUAACUGCAAGUGUUUGGAAGUGAUGACGACACCCAGGACCAGGCUGGGAGAGGCCUUGUGGCCACCGUCUUGCCCACUCUCUCCAAUCAUGUGUUUUGGGAAGGCAGCCGCCAUGUCAUGAGGAUGCUCAAGCUACCUGUGGAGGGGUCAAUGUGAGGAGGACCCGAGGUUCCUGCCAGAGCCAGCACUGAAUGGCCAUCCACGUGAGUGUGCCAUCUUGGAAGUGGGUCCUCAAGCCCCAGUCAAGUCUUUGGGUGAAGAAAGCCCUGACCACUAUCUUGAUGGCCACAUCAUGGGAGAUUCCAGCAAGAACCACUCAGCUAAACCACUCUGCAAAUUCUGACUCGGAAAUAGAGAUGAUAAAUCCUCAUUGUUUCAAGAUGCUUGGUUUUGUAAUUGGCUAUGCAGCCACCGAUGAUGCAGAUAGCACCAACCUAACAAUUAGACCUACAAGUUUGCAACUUUGUAAGGAUGGGAAAGCAUACCUGCAUGUCUGUUCUGUCUUUCGCUUUCAGGACAAUAUUUAAUAAAUUACACGAGCUGUUCAACACUUCAUUAUGAA
rnacentral:lncRNA from 1 species